rnacentral:rRNA from 1 species
CCAGACUCCUACGGGAGGCAGCAGUGGGGGAUAUUGCACAAUGGGGGGAACCCUGAUGCAGCGACGCCGCGUGGGUGAAGAAGCGCCUCGGCGCGUAAAGCCCUGUCAGCAGGGAAGAAAAUGACGGUACCUGAAGAGGAAGCCCCGGCUAACUACGUGCCAGCAGCCGCGGUAAUACGUAGGGGGCAAGCGUUAUCCGGAUUUACUGGGUGUAAAGGGUGCGCAGGUGGCAGGGCAAGUCAGAUGUGAAAGCCCGGGGCUCAACCCCGGUAUUGCAUUUGAAACUGUCCGGCUAGAGUGCAGGAGAGGCAAGCGGAAUUCCUAGUGUAGCGGUGAAAUGCGUAGAUAUAAGGAAGAACACCAGUGGCGAAGGCGGAUGACUGGACGGCAACUGACGGUGAGGCGCGAAAGCGUGGGGAGCAAACAGGAUUAGAUACCCGCGUACC